rnacentral:tRNA from 1 species
CAUUAUGAAGCUAACUAGCGUUAACCUUUUAAGUUAAAGAUCGAGAAUUAUUUUCUCCAUAAUGA